rnacentral:rRNA from 1 species
AGAGUUUGAUCCUGGCUCAGGACGAACGCUGGCGGCGUGCCUAAUACAUGCAAGUAGAACGCUGAAGAGAGGAGCUUGCUCUUCUUGGAUGAGUUGCGAACGGGUGAGUAACGCGUAGGUAACCUGCCUUGUAGCGGGGGAUAACUAUUGGAAACGAUAGCUAAUACCGCAUAACAAUGGAUGACACAUGUCAUUUAUUUGAAAGGGGCAAUUGCUCCACUACAAGAUGGACCUGCGUUGUAUUAGCUAGUAGGUGAGGUAAUGGCUCACCUAGGCGACGAUACAUAGCCGACCUGAGAGGGUGAUCGGCCACACUGGGACUGAGACACGGCCCAGACUCCUACGGGAGGCAGCAGUAGGGAAUCUUCGGCAAUGGGGGCAACCCUGACCGAGCAACGCCGCGUGAGUGAAGAAGGUUUUCGGAUCGUAAAGCUCUGUUGUAAGUCAAGAACGGGUGUGAGAGUGGAAAGUUCACACUGUGACGGUAGCUUACCAGAAAGGGACGGCUAACUACGUGCCAGCAGCCGCGGUAAUACGUAGGUCCCGAGCGUUGUCCGGAUUUAUUGGGCGUAAAGCGAGCGCAGGCGGUUUGAUAAGUCUGAAGUUAAAGGCUGUGGCUCAACCAUAGUUCGCUUUGGAAACUGUCAAACUUGAGUGCAGAAGGGGAGAGUGGAAUUCCAUGUGUAGCGGUGAAAUGCGUAGAUAUAUGGAGGAACACCGGUGGCGAAAGCGGCUCUCUGGUCUGUAACUGACGCUGAGGCUCGAAAGCGUGGGGAGCGAACAGGAUUAGAUACCCUGGUAGUCCACGCCGUAAACGAUGAGUGCUAGGUGUCGGGGAGGAAUCCUCGGUGCCGCAGCUAACGCAAUAAGCACUCCACCUGGGGAGUACGACCGCAAGGUUGAAACUCAAAGGAAUUGACGGGGGCCCGCACAAGCGGUGGAGCAUGUGGUUUAAUUCGAAGCAACGCGAAGAACCUUACCA